rnacentral:tRNA from 1 species
GGCCCUGUGGUGUGAUUACAUAUCGAAUUGCAAAUUCGAAGAAGCAGCUUCAACUCUGCCGGGGCUU